AGAAUCAACGCUGGCGGCGUGCCUAACACAUGCAAGUCGAACGAGAAAGUGGAGCAAUCCAUGAGUAAAGUGGCGCACGGGUGAGUAACACGUGACUAACCUACCCUUGAGUGGGGGAUAACCUAGGGAACCUGGGCUAAUACCGCAUAAUACCUUCGGGUCAAAGGAGCAAUUCGCUUUAGGAGGGGGUCGCGGCCGAUUAGUUAGUUGGCGGGGUAAUGGCCCACCAAGACUGUGAUCGGUA
rnacentral:rRNA from 1 species